CCUGUCACUGACUGACAGUUCAGUUUUGUUCGGACGGCUCGUAGGUCGCUAGUUUUUGUCUUUUAAUUCUUUUGGUUGAAUAGAAACAACACGAGGAAUUGUAUAGAAGAAAUGACGUAUCCAAGUUUUAGCGUUUGAAUCAUCAUGAUAAGUUGGUGUUACAAUAGUUUUCUUUAGUUUGAAUUUCGGAGUCGCCGGCAAAACCCGUGUUUCGAUUACUACCUGCAAACUAAAUAAUUGUAACGCGACGUGCUUUGCUCCCCGUAAUCGAGAGCAUUCAAAAUGAACCUGGGCCAUGCAGUAGUUUUAUUUAAUGCUAUAUUCAUUGCAUUAGUGAAUAGUGCAGUUAUUGUGGACGAUGGUGAUGUAGAUCAACAAGGACUUUAUAGUAAGUCUGAUCAUGUUGACAUAUUAACGAAUCGUAAUUUUGAAAGGAAAAUUUAUGGGCAGAAUCAUGCAAUUGUGGCUCAAUUUUACAAUAGCUAUUGUGGACACUGUCGAGCUUUUGCUCCCAGAUUUAAAACUAUGGCGUCUGAAAUGCUAAAUUGGAGAAAUAUUAUAAGGCUGGCUGUAAUUGACUGUUCUGUGGAAGAAAACAAUGAAAUUUGUAGACAGUUUGAAGUAAUGGCUUACCCAUCGUUACGCUAUUUGCAUGAGAAUUAUGUCAAAGCAAAUGGUAAUGUUGGUGAUAAGAUACAGUUAACUGACACACUUGAAAAACUUAAGGCUCAAAUAGUCACUAGAAUGCAAAAUGAUCAAACCAUUGGAAACUUAAAGUUUGCACCUUCAUUGGGUAUUGAAUCUUUCAAAGACUAUGCAUCUGCUGUUAAGGAUGUGCCUGCAAACAUUCAAUAUACAUUCCUUGUAUUGGAAGCUCAUAAUUCUACAUUAGGAUCAGAGCUGGCUUUAGACCUAAAUGAUUACCCUAAUGUUAAAGUAAAGAGAGUGCAUGAAGCUAGUGAAAUUGCUGAGCUGGCGAACAUCAAACAAUUUCCUGGACUUGUAGCUGUUAGCUCUACUUUGGAGUCUACUACUCUUGUCCCUAAAGACUAUAGUAAAGGGGGGCUGCUGAAAGCAAUUAAUUCUUUCUUAAAAUCUAAAAACUAUGCUUUCCCUGUGCAUGAUCAUGGUAGUCAAGAAAUAGUUACUAAUGACCACUCCAAUGAAAAACCUGUGACUCUUAAUACUGAUCUUGUAUAUUAUAGUGACUUGGAGAAAACCAUUAAAACAAGUUUACAUACUGAAAUUACAAGAUUUAAAAACUUGUCUGGCGAGCCUCUGCAAGCACUCUUAGACUAUCUAGAUGUUCUCAUAGUCUCAUUUCCUUUUAGAGCAAAUCUUAAAGAGUAUAUCACAGAAUUGCGUACUACUCUCGCAUCAAAGAGUAGUUGGGAUGGUGGUGAAGUGUAUGCAGUAGUUAAAAGUUUAGAGACAACACAUGCACCUGUAUAUAUAACCAAUUUAGAAUAUGUGAGGUGUAAGGGUAGCCAGCCUAAAUUCCGUGGUUACACUUGUGGCCUCUGGACACUAUUUCACACUCUGACUGUAAAUGCUGCUCAAAAACCUGGUACAGAAAGUCCAAAAGUUUUAAAAGCUAUGCAUGGUUAUGUGAAGAACUUUUUUGGCUGCACAGAAUGUGCUGGACAUUUCCAAGCUAUGGCAGCAAGAAAUAGAAUAUUUGAUGUGAAGGAAAAUGACAAAGCUGUACUUUGGCUAUGGAUAGCACAUAAUGAAGUAAAUCUUAGGUUAGCAGGAGAUACCACUGAAGACCCCGAGCAUCCAAAAAUCCAGUUUCCUAGUGUUGCUAGGUGUCCUGAAUGCCGACUAGCCAGAGGUGCUUGGAAUCUACCAGCUGUAUACCAGUACCUCCAAAAUGUUUACGGUGCCUCAAGCAUCCAAUCCAUGCGACGUGCCAGGUCAUCUGCAGCACCUUCGGUACCAUUCUCCAAUUUGGACAUCGGAAUGCUAAGUCUCCUGUACUUAUUAUCUUUCAUUAUUCUUAUUUUAGUUAUUAAAUAUUUUCUCUCUAAACGUUACAAAAAAAGGUUUUACAAACAUGGACGGGGUAAAGUAUAACACUACUUUUAAAGUAACAGAUUUAAUGGUAAUCAUAUUUUGUCUGUUUGCUGGUUAUUUAUUAUUUUGUUUGCCUUAUAGGUCUGUGCAUUUCAAUAUCAUAAUUACAGAUUUUUUAUGUGGAACCAAUUAUUUCUCUGUCUUGGGAAAAAACUUUAGUAAAGCUUUUAAUUAAUAAUGGUUUUUCAAAGUAAUUUAUUUGAUUUGUAUUAUUGCAUGUGGGAUGUGUCGCUAGACAUUGGUCUUUGGUAAUGAAAUUACCUAUGAUUAUAGUAUAUUUUAUGUUUUUAAUUUCAUUGGUUAUUUCAUAUCGUAUUAUACUUUAUGAACAUAGGCUUGCUAAAAUGCUAGCUUGAAACUUUAUUCAGUUGGAUAAUGUACAAUUAUUUAGCUAUUUGCUUAAGUUAGUUGUAUAAUGUUGUGCAAUAAUACUUUAAAACCACUAUUACAUCAAAACAUUGCAAUUGCGAAUUACUAUUAUAAUAAAAGAGGUAAUUGGUUCCAUUUCACACGAUAUCUUAAUAAUGGGUUCCUUGUUAUAAUACUCAUUACAAAGCUUUUUUAAGUUCAUGGGUAGUUUUUCACUUUUUUAUGCUGCUAUAGAGAGGGCUGGAAAUAAUAAAAAAAAUUACAGUUAAAUAGUUACCUACCAAGAUAGACACUAACUGCUGUACUUUGAGACAUUUAAUAGUUACUUAACCCAGUUCUUAGCAAUUGUUUUCGAUACAAAAACGUUACUAAGGAAUAGUUUAAGCAAUAAUUAAACGUCACUGGGUGCGGCAGUAAAAGUAGAAAUUAUGAGAUGGUUGAAUAUUAUUUUCAUAUAUGCCUAUGUUUUUUCUUUUAAUUCCAGCUCUCAGCAUGUUACAUGUUUUAUUCUUUACUAGAUAUCUAUUUCAAAAAGUUGCUCUAAGAUUUAUUGCUGUUAUUUUAUCUGUUGUUAAACAAAGCAUUUUUUAUGAAAUGAAAAACUGCUUUGACAUCUUAAUAGAUAAAUAUUAUAUGCAAUCAGUUAUUGCUGUCUAAAUAUUCCAAUGCCUCAACUGAUGAGGCAGUGCUGAAAAUGCGAAUGACAGUAUACAUAUAUAAUUUAUAAUUAUUUAUUUACCAUUCCUUUCACAUUUUUUUCAUUUUGCAUAAUAUGCAUUCAUUUUGCAAAUGCUAUUAUUAAAUAGUUAAAUUGUGGACCACAAAUAUUUUAUGAUCUCUUCACAAUGAAAUCUUGAAAUAAAUUCCGAUUUUAUAUUGAAGUUCUACCAGGAUUAGAACACACAUAUUAUGUUGAAUGGGCAAUCAAUUAAUGAAAUAACUGUGUUCUGUGCAAAAUUUAAGAAACAGACAUCAUGUUCAAGGUUGAUACAAAAACCAAUAAUAUGUGGAUAUUUAUAGACCCGUAGUAGAAUUGAUUAUGUUAUGAAAGAGAAUAGGGGGCUCCAAUUUUACACAAAUGUCCCUUCUAUAUGACGCAAUUACUAGUUCUUUAUUCAGUCUUAGUUAUUGUCGGUUUAAUAAACUUUUAAAGUUACCAUUAACAAUUUAGUUACAAUAUAUUUAGCUAACUAUGACAUGUUACUAUUGCUAGCGUUUAUCUCUUCCAUUAUUAGGCUUUUAAUUCGUAGAUAUUUAUCUAACUUGACAAAUUUUUCAUAGUUAUGAUUUUAUUUUGGUGCUAAAACUCCAUAUUGAACAGUGCCAACUGUUUUUUUUUUAAUAUAAUAGUAUUCUGGUAAUUUAUAAUGGGGCAAAACAUGUUUGAUUUAUUAAACAUUGUUGUUAUUAACAUAGUUUCGGUUAAUUCGAUCUCAUAGUAGGUCAUAUUUAAUCCAAUUUCUGUAAAACAGAUACUGCCAAUAAAGAAUUAAUUUUCUAACAAUAAUAGAAUAUUCCAUAAGGUGCUAAAACGUAAUAUUGUUUUAAAUAGGAUUCUUACAUAAAAUUAGUUUAUAUAUUUAGUCAUUUUGGCCCUUAGUACCGAAGGUUUAUUAUACGAAGUACCUGUAGGUAGGUAGUUAAAUGAACAUACUAAUAAUAUACUAAUAAAUGAUUCCAUUAUAUUUAUAAGAUAUUAAAUAAUAAAUUAUUUACUUGUAAAAAUAUGUAGCUAUGUAAGAACUGCCUUAUUAGCUUUUCAGUUAAUUAGGCUUAGUAUAAUUAGUAUUUUGGAAGUAGAUUAUCUACGUAAAUGAAAUAUAAUAUUUAUUAGGAUAAAUCAGAUAUAAUUAUGCGUAUAAAGAAACAUGACAAGUGUGAAAUUCAAAACUUAGAUAAUAGUUAAAUAUAAACGGAAUCAGUAGUCGGCAGUGCUCAUGAUAAUUGUAGGUAUUGUUCGCCAAGACGUGUGCACGAUAAAGAAACAAAUAAAUUAACGGACUAUUGUUUUACUUUCUGAAUAACUAUUCGUACCGGUCUACAGUACAGUAACUAUAGCAAUGUUCAAAACAUUUGCCAGCCACUGUCAUCAACAGAGACUCUAUAGACAUAAUAUUAAUCUAAUACGAUUUACACCUACGCGUUUAGCAAUAAGUAUGUAAUAGUUAUUAGAUAUAAUUAUUGAUAAAAAAGCCGGUGAUUACAAAACUGACAGAGAAAAUAACAAUAUUCGUCCAGAAAUACAAUGUCCGUGCCUUGCAGUCUUACGAUCAUUUUCAGUAUCAAAAUCUCACACAUUAGUUAAAUUAUCGGCAUACUCCACAAAAAUAUAAGAAGUCGUCAAUACAACUUUAUUAGUCACAAAUAUUUUAUACAAGUUCAUAGUACUUAGUUCGAGUUUAUUUUAUGUUUAACGAGAUCGGAACCAGAGGACAUUUGACGCCCUGAUUGGCCGGCUCGAAUGAACCAACCAUUCAGAGCCGAACCGGCUCUUGUUUCCAAUUCGUUAAAAGUAAAACGAACUCGUACUAACGGUACAUUGUAGGUUACUUUUGGAGAGAUGACAGAUUUAAAUUUCUGUAGAUUCGGAUUUAUAUUAGGAUAGCUUUUUUACAAUUAAACGCGAUAAAAGAUCAUGAUUAUAGUAAUGAUCGUAGGUAAACUAUAAAUUCAUAGAAACAAUAGUUUUAUGAAUUCGUAUAUAUGUAUAUAUAAUGAGUAACUAAUUAAUUAAGUCGUAGAUACAAGUGCCUAUGAUUAUGUAAGAUUACUUGUCAUAAUAUUAUUAUAUCUAUAGCAAAGGCUUCGGUCAAUAUAAAAUCGUAUGAUACAAAGUUAUACAUAUCAAAUGCUAUAUGAUCUGCCAAGAUACCGGUAGUCCGGAUAAUGUAAUACAUAUUUAUACUUUUUAGAUGAAUGUGUAAAGAGUUAUUUAAUACUUAUUAUGUUUAUUAUAUUUACUUAGCUUAGCUUAUAUAUUUAAUAAAUAGCUAAGCAAUUUUGUGUAUUAUUUCGCGUUAAGUAAAGUAGGUUUUUUAAUGCUUUAUGUAUUUGUAAUUGGCGGUUUUCAUGGGUAUUGGAAUAGAAACACAAUAGUAGAUAAUCAACAAUAAAAUCUUUACUUCAUUUAAUAAUUUACUUUCUGCAAUUUAAAAACGUAUGUAAUGUAGUAGGAACUUAGAGAUAUAUGUAUAUAUCUAUGCGAAUACAUUCCUGUAGGCUUUUGUGUAAGCAGACGUGCAGUUUACAAUCUUAACUAGUUACUAAUUAAUUUCCCUUCAUCAUGAUUAUAAUACUAUUCUUAUCCAAACAAACAAUAAAUACACAAUGGGAUGAUCGCAUUUUUGUGAGUACAGAGGAAUAAGAAUUCAAAGUAUUUUCUUACUGAGUUUCCACCUUUCUUAUGAUAAAUAUCAAAACAUCUAGUCUUGAACGUACGCUGCUUCGUUAAUCUCAUAUCAAUAUUGUGGUUGAAAAAUAAGAAGCAGUAGUACUUGUGUAUGUAGUGGAUUCACCGUUCACUUCGCUACAAUACAGAUAAGAUAAAAUCUUACAGCGCACUUCAAUACCUGGAUCUAAGUAAUUCAAAGAUCUCGGUACUGAUACGACGAACGUUAUUAGGUAUACUAAUUUUUAAAGUCUGAACCCAUGAGCACUGCCCAAUUUCAAUAAUUAAGUCUUAAUUUACCGUUCAAAUCAGUUACCCAAUAAAAAAGAAAAUCGCGAAAUAAUCCAUAAAAAAUAGUUUCCAUAUCAAUACUUAACGCCAAUAAUAUUGUUUGAAAACAUAACUGUAUCAGUUUUCAUUUACAGCGAAGUUAUAAACUUAGCCAAAUACACGGAAAAAGUAGAAGUAUGGAUGCCUGAGUUGUUUUGAUUACUUACCAAUUGUUUGAAAAAUGUAUUGAUGAAUAAUAUUUUUACAUCCAUACAGUACGUUUCAUCGCAACUGAGUGGAAAAUGGACUCUGGGUUAAGGUACAUGACAGCAUGAUAGUUUGACGUUUCGAGAAACCCAUCGCUUCCAUUUUUAUACUCGAGUCCUGCCGUACCUAAACAUGAUGCUAGUUCUAAGCUAGAAAUAUUGUUAGUUGAUUUUUAGACGACUUUACAUUUUAUAAAAUCUCGUAAUUGGUUUAGAAGUUAAACAUAAGAUUGGUAUGUUUUGACAAAAUCAAGUGCUUAGUUUCGGAAAAAAUGGUACACCCAAAGAGACUGCACUGUUCCAAUACAGUAGAAACUGCCAUUAUAUAUGUUGUCAAUUAUAAUAAUAAUAUGUUAUUAACCUUAUGUCAUUCAUGCACAUUUAAUUGUUCGUUAAUUCGCUCUACCAUUGUUCAUUUUCCCGAAACUAACGCUUGAUUAGAGUUGGAAAUGUCACGAAGCAUAAUUUAUAGAUUAAAAUUUCAAAGUUGACGGAAACAUUGUUACGGAUCACUUGAAUAAAUACUGUGUAGUUGACAUAAGCUUUGUAGGUGUGCGAUGAAAUGAAAUAAAUAGACGAGAGGGAACCUGUGCCUCAUACAAUUCUAAAUAGCAAAUAGAAUAAUCGAAACAACCAACUAGGUAUAUGUACUGCAAUAAAAUCUCAAGCUAAUAAAUAGUCAGAUACAUUUAAAAUAUUUUUUUAAGAUUUGUAAUUGUUUAAUUAGUUUAUGACCUGGUCAAAGAUAUAUUCAACGAAUAUUGGGUCCUAAUGUAUUUAGAUGACUCUGAUUGAGAAAUAAAUAUAAUUAAUU